GCGUGCUCUGUUCGCACAUGUGGAUCUCAUGUAAAAGAGUAUAUACGGGGUGUCAGAUCGACACGUGUCAUUUUUCUUGUACCUAAUAAUCAAAAUUUUCAAAUAAUCGAUAUUAGUUCAAGGAAAUAAGUGAGGUCUGACGUUAAUUAGGUAUCUUUUUCUUUGGCUCAGGAAUUAGGUAUUUUAUUAGUCAGUUUUUUCCUGCAUUUAUUGGAACAGGUAAGAAAAGUAAUUUGUACUAAUUGUCUUUUGACAGUGCGUUUCUCCUUUUUUUGUUUAUGUGUAUUACUCUUUUUUUUUUUUGAGAAAACAUAUAUGUAUUACUUUAGUUAUAUACUUAACAGCUUUUAAAUAUAUACGUGAAAACUAUGGGAUAUUUGCAAAAUUGCCAAAAUAUCACACAUGUAUGAUAGAAAAACGUACACCUUCGAUCAUUUAGAAACAUUUUGUAAAAAUGUAGGAAUACUGCAUAAACCACAAGUUUAUUAAAUAUUUUUUUUACUUUGUAAAAUAAUUUUAGAAACAAAGCUUAAAAGUGAUAGCUUAAAUAAUUAUAAUAUUCUUGUUUUUAGUUAUUUAUAAACGAGUUUAUA
rnacentral:lncRNA from 1 species